GUGCUUGCUUCAGCAGCACUAAAAUUGCAAGUAUACAGAGAUUAGCAUGGCCCCUGCCCAAGGAUAGCAGAUUCGUAAAGCAUUCCAGAUCAAA
rnacentral:snRNA from 1 species